GUGCUUCUUUGGAAGCACAUACACUAAAAUCUUUGUGAUAUAGAGAAGAUUAGCAUGGCUCCUGCACAAGGAUGACAUGGAAAUUCAAGAUGUACAGAAAACUAAA